rnacentral:rRNA from 1 species
AUUGAACGCUGGCGGCAUGCUUUACACAUGCAAGUCGAACGGUAACAGGUUAAGCUGACGAGUGGCGAACGGGUGAGUAAUGCAUCGGAACGUGCCCGAUCGUGGGGGAUAACGCAGCGAAAGCUGCGCUAAUACCGCAUACGAUCUGAGGAUGAAAGCGGGGGACCGUAAGGCCUCGCGCGAUCGGAGCGGCCGAUGUCAGAUUAGGUAGUUGGUGGGGUAAAGGCUCACCAAGCCGACGAUCUGUAGCUGGUCUGAGAGGACGACCAGCCACACUGGGAUGGAGACACGGCCCAGACUCCUACGGGAGGCAGCAGUGGGGAAUUUUGGACAAUGGGCGAAAGCCUGAUCCAGCAAUGCCGCGUGCAGGAAGAAGGCCUUCGGGUUGUAAAGCUCUUUUGUCAGGGAAGAAACGGUUGAGGCUAAUAUCCUCGACUAAUGACGGUACCUGAAGAAUAAGCACCGGCUAACUACGUGCCAGCCGCCGCCGUAAAAC